AUUGAACGCUGGCGGCAUGCUUUACACAUGCAAGUCGGACGGCAGCACAGAGACGCUUGCUUCUUGGGUGGCGAGUGGCGAACGGGUGAGUAAUAUAUCGGAACGUACCGAGUAAUGGGGGAUAACUAAUCGAAAGAUUAGCUAAUACCGCAUAUUCUCUGAGGCGGAAAGCAGGGGACCUUCGGGCCUUGCGUUAUUCGAGCGGCCGAUAUCUGAUUAGCUAGUUGGUGGGGUAAAGGCCUACCAAGGCGACGAUCAGUAGCGGGUCUGAGAGGAUGAUCCGCCACACUGGGACUGAGACACGGCCCAGACUCCUACGGGAGGCAGCAGUGGGGAAUUUUGGACAAUGGGCGCAAGCCUGAUCCAGCCAUGCCGCGUGUCUGAAGAAGGCCUUCGGGUUGUAAAGGACUUUUGUCAGGGAAGAAAAGGCUGUUGCUAAUACCGACAGCUGAUGACGGUACCUGAAGAAUAAGCACCGGCUAACUACGUG
rnacentral:rRNA from 1 species